GAUGCCAUUUUUGAGCUAUGUA
rnacentral:miRNA from 1 species